rfam:Ciona savignyi cont_54237, whole genome shotgun sequence.
GGCUCUUGGCGGUGGAUCACUCGGCUCGUGAAUCGAUGAAGGACGCAGCUAGCUGCGUGAUUUA